GUACGGGAGGCAGCAGUGAGGAAUCUUCGGCAAUGGGCGAAAGCCUGACCGAGCGACGCCGCGUGCGGGAAGACGGCCUUCGGGUUGUAAACCGCUUUUCUGUGGGACGAGAACGGACGGUACCACAGGAAGAAGCCUCGGCUAACUACGUGCCAGCAGCCGCGGUAAUACGUAGGAGGCGAGCGUUGUCCGGAGUUACUGGGCGUAAAGGGUGCGCAGGCGGUGGUGCGCGUGGAUAGAUGAAAUCUCCUGGCUUACCUGGGAGGAUGGUAUCCAGACGGCAUCACUUGAGGGUCGGAGAGGGGCGUGGAAUUCCGGGUGGAGCGGUGAAAUGCGUAGAGAUCCGGAGGAACACCGACGGCGUAGGCAGCGCCCUGGACGACACCUGACGCUGAGGCACGAAAGCUGGGGGAGCGAACAGGAUUAGAUACCCCGGUAGC
rnacentral:rRNA from 1 species